AGCACGGGAGCAAUCCUGGUGGCGAGUGGCGAGCGGGUGAGUAAUAUAUCGGAACGUGCCCAGUCGUGGGGGAUAACGCAGCGAAAGCUGUGCUAAUACCGCAUACGAUCUAUGGAUGAAAGCGGGGGAUCGCAAGACCUCGCGCGAUUGGAGCGGCCGAUAUCAGAUUAGGUAGUUGGUGGGGUAAAGGCCCACCAAGCCGACGAUCUGUAGCUGGUCUGAGAGGACGACCAGCCACACUGGAACUGAGACACGGUCCAGACUCCUACGGGAGGCAGCAGUGGGGAAUUUUGGACAAUGGGCGCAAGCCUGAUCCAGCAAUGCCGCGUGCAGGAUGAAGGCCUUCGGGUUGUAAACUGCUUUUGUACGGAACGAAACGGUCUGCUCUAAUACAGUGGGCUAAUGACGGUACCGUAAGAAUAAGCACCGGCUAACUACGUGCCAGCAGCCGCGGUAAUACGUAGGGUGCGAGCGUUAAUCGGAAUUACUGGGCGUAAAGCGUGCGCAGGCGGUUCUAUAAGACAGAUGUGAAAUCCCCGGGCUUAACCUGGGAACUGCGUUUGUGACUGUAGGACUCGAGUGUGGCAGAGGGGGGUGGAAUUCCACGUGUAGCAGUGAAAUGCGUAGAGAUGUGGAGGAACACCGAUGGCGAAGGCAGCCCCCUGGGUCAACACUGACGCUCAUGCACGAAAGCGUGGGGAGCAAACAGGAUUAGAUACCCUGGUAGUCCACGCCCUAAACGAUGCGAACUAGGUGUUGGGGAAGGAGACUUUCUUAGUACCGCAGCUAACGCGUGAAGUU
rnacentral:rRNA from 1 species